rnacentral:rRNA from 1 species
UGGGCAGGUUGAAGGUUGGGUAACACUAACUGGAGGACCGAACCGACUAAUGUUGAAAAAUUAGCGGAUGACUUGUGGCUGGGGGUGAAAGGCCAAUCAAACCGGGAGAUAGCUGGUUCUCCCCGAAAGCUAUUUAGGUAGCGCCUCGUGAAUUCAUCUCCGGGGGUAGAGCACUGUUUCGGCAAGGGGGUCAUCCCGACUUACCAACCCGAUGCAAACUGCGAAUACCGGAGAAUGUUAUCACGGGAGACACACGGCGGGUGCUAACGUCCGUCGUGAAGAGGGAAACAACCCAGACCGCCAGCUAAGGUCCCAAAGUCAUGGUUAAGUGGGAAACGAUGUGGGAAGGCCCAGACAGCCAGGAUGUUGGCUUAGAAGCAGCCAUCAUUUAAAGAAAGCGUAAUAGCUCACUGGUCGAGUCGGCCUGCGCGGAAGAUGUAACGGGGCUAAACCAUGCACCGAAGCUGCGGCAGCGACGCUUAUGCGUUGUUGGGUA